rnacentral:sRNA from 1 species
UAAACUGGUAAACCUUUAAUGGUUCAUGU